UACGGAGGGUGCAAACGUUGCUCGGAAUCAUUGGGCGUAAAGCGCACGUAGGUGGCCUGUUAAGUCGGGUGUGGAAUCCCUGGGCUCAACCCAGGAAGUGCACUCGAAACUGGCGGGCUUGAGUACUGAAGAGGGUCGCGGAAUUCCCGGUGUAGAGGUGAAAUUCGUAGAUAUCGGGAGGAACACCAGUGGCGAAGGCGGCGACCUGGGCAGAUACUGACACUGAGGUGCGAAAGCGUGGGGAGCAAACAGG
rnacentral:rRNA from 1 species